UCCCUGAUGGUCCAGUGGUUAGGACUCUGCUCUCUCACUGCCGAGGGCCCAGGUUCCAUCCCUGGUCAGGGAA